rnacentral:rRNA from 1 species
AACGAACGCUGGCGGCAUGCCUAACACAUGCAAGUCGAACGAGACCUUCGGGUCUAGGGGCGCACGGGUGCGUAACGCGUGGUAACCUGCCCUUAGGUUCGGAAUAACUCCCCGAAAGGGGUGCUAAUACCGGAUAAUGUCUUCGGACCAAAGAUUUAUCGCCUUUGGAUGGGCCCGCGUUGGAUUAGCUAGUUGGUAGGGUAAAAGCCUACCAAGGCGACGAUCCAUAGCUGGUCGGAGAGGAUGAUCAGCCACACUGGGACUGAGACACGGCCCAGACUCCUACGGGAGGCAGCAGUGGGGAAUAUUGGACAAGGGGCGAAAGCCUGAUCCAGCAAUGCCGCGUGAGUGAUGAAGGCGUUAGGGUUGUAAAGCCCUUUUACCCGGGAUGAUAAUGACAGUACCGGGAGAAUAAGCUCCGGCUAACUCCGUG